rnacentral:rRNA from 1 species
AGUCAUAUGCUUGUCUCAAAGAUUAAGCCAUGCAUGUCUAAGUACAAACUAUAUUAAAGUGAAACCGCGAAAGGCUCAUUAAAUCAGUUAUGGUUCCUUAGAUCGUACCACAAUUACUUGGAUAACUGUGGUAAUUCUAGAGCUAAUACAUGCAAACAGAGCUCUGACCGGAGACGGAAGGAGUGCUUUUAUUAGAUCAAAACCAAUCGGCGGCGGUAGCGUUUCGGCGUUAUCGUUUGUCGCUCAAUAAAUGGUGAAUCUGAAUAACUUUAUGCUGAUCGCAUGGUCUUGUACCGGCGACGCAUCUUUCAAAUGUCUGCCUUAUCAACUGUCGAUGGUAGGAUCUGCGCCUACCAUGGUUGUAACGGGUAACGGGGAAUCAGGGUUCGAUUCCGGAGAGGGAGCCUGAGAAACGGCUACCACAUCCAAGGAAGGCAGCAGGCGCGCAAAUUACCCACUCCCGGCACGGGGAGGUAGUGACGAAAAAUAACGAUACGGGACUCAUCCGAGGCCCCGUAAUCGGAAUGAAUACACUUUAAAUCCUUUAAUGAGGACCAAUUGGAGGGCAAGUCUGGUGCCAGCAGCCGCGGUAAUUCCAGCUCCAAUAGCGUAUAUUAAAGUUGUUGCGGUUAAAAAGCUCGUAGUUGUAUUUGUGUCCCGCACUGUCGGUUCACCGCCCGCGGUGCUAACUGGCAUGUUUGCGGGACGUCCUGCCGGUGGAUGUAAGUGAUUUACUUACGGGUCUAUCACACAUCCGACUUAUGAAUCCUGUCGCGGUGCUCUUAACUGAGUGUCGAGGCGGGCCGGCACAUUUACUUUGAACAAAUUAAAGUGCUCAAAGCAGGCUAAUUAAUGCCUGAAUAAUUAGUGCAUGGAAUAAUAGAACAGGACCUUGGUUCUAUUUUGUUGGUUUUCGGAACUCCAAGGUAAUGAUUAAUAGGGACAGAUGGGGGCAUUCGUAUUGCGACGUUAGAGGUGAAAUUCUUGGAYCGUCGCAAGACGGACUAAAGCGAAAGCAUUUGCCAAAGAUGUUUUCAUUAAUCAAGAACGAAAGUCAGAGGCUCGAAGGCGAUCAGAUACCGCCCUAGUUCUGACCAUAAACGAUGCCAGCUAGCGAUCCGCCAAAGUUCCUCCGAUGACUUGGCGGGCAGCUUCCGGGAAACCAAAGCUUUUGGGUUCCGGGGGAAGUAUGGUUGCAAAGCUGAAACUUAAAGGAAUUGACGGAAGGGCACCACCAGGAGUGGAGCCUGCGGCUUAAUUUGACUCAACACGGGGAACCUCACCAGGCCCAGACACUGGAAGGAUUGACAGAUUGAGAGCUCUUUCUUGAUUCAGUGGGUGGUGGUGCAUGGCCGUUCUUAGUUGGUGAAGUGAUUUGUCUGGUUAAUUCCGAUAACGAACGAGACUCUAGCCUACUAAAUAGACGUUACACUUUCCAGUAUCUCGAAGGCUCACAUCUCUCGUUUCUCUACUGCAUACCACACUAAUGCAUUUUGGUUGGUUUGUGGUGGGUCGGGAGUUUGUGGUUUUUACUACUGGCGUACAUAUAAAUCUUCUUAGAGGGACAGGCAGCUUCUAGUUGCACGAGAUUGAGCAAUAACAGGUCUGUAAUGCCCUUAGAUGUUCUGGGCCGCACGCGCGCUACACUGAAGGAAUCAGCGUGUCUUCCCUGGCCGAAAGGUCCGGGUAACCCGCUGAACCUCCUUCGUGCUAGGGAUUGGGGCUUGCAAUUAUUCCCCAUGAACGAGGAAUUCCCAGUAAGCGUGAGUCAUCAACUCACGUUGAUUACGUCCCUGCCCUUUGUACACACCGCCCGUCGCUACUACCGAUUGAAUGAUUUAGUGAGGUCUUCGGACUGGUACGCGGUGAUGUUACCACAUUACCGAUGUCGCUGGGAAGAUGACCAAACUUGAUUAUUUAGAGGAAGUAAAAGUCGUAACAAGGUUCC